rnacentral:rRNA from 1 species
AAACAUUUUUGGGAGAAGAUAUUUUUGAUAAGGCCUGCUCUAUGCUGUAAAUGGCUGCAGUAUUUUGACUGUACAAAGGUAGCAUAAUCAUUAGUCUUUUAAUUGAGGGCUGGUAUGAAUGGCUAGACGGAAAAUUUUUAUUAUUAUGUGAAUUUAAUUUUUAAGUUAAAAAGCUUAAAUUUUUAAAAGGGACGAGAAGACCCUAUAGAAUUUUAUAAAUUGAAAUAUUUAUUGGGGUGAUAAGAGUAACUUUUUAUUCAUUAUUUGAGUUGAGAUCUUGAAGAUAAUAAGAUUAAAUUACCUUAGGGAUAACAGCAUAAUUUUUUUUAAAAGUUCAUAUUUAUAGAAAAGAUUAUGACCUCGAUGUUGAAUUGAUAAUAUUUAGGUGUAGGAGUUAAGUA